AUACGGAGGAUGCGAGCGUUAUCCGGAUUUGUUGGGUUUAAAGGGAGCGUAGGUGGGAUAUUAAGUCAGCUGUGAAAGUUUGGGGCUCAACCUUAAAAUUGCAGUUGAUACUGGUUUCCUUGAGUACGGUACAGGUGGGCGGAAUUCGUGGUGUAGCGGUGAAAUGCUUAGAUAUCACGAAGAACUCCGAUCGCGAAGGCAGCUCACCGGGCCGGAACUGACACUGAUGCUCGAAAGUGCGGGUAUCAAACAGGAUUAGAUACCCUGGUAGUCCGCACAGUAAACGAUGAAUACUCGCUGUUUGCGAUACACGGUAAGCGGCCAAGCGAAAGCGUUAAGUAUUCCACCUGGGGAGUACGCCGGCAACGGUGAAACUCAAAUGAAUUGACGGGG
rnacentral:rRNA from 1 species